CGGGUGAGUAACGCGUGGAUAAUCUGCCCGAGGAUUUGGGAUAACAUCUCGAAAGGGGUGCUAAUACCGAAUAAGCCCACGGGGUCUACGGAUCUUGCGGGAAAAGGGGGGGACUUUCGGGCCUCCUGUCUUCGGAUGAGUCCGCGUACCAUUAGCUAGUUGGUGGGGUAAUGGCCUACCAAGGCGACGAUGGUUAGCUGGUCUGAGAGGAUGAUCAGCCACACUGGAACUGAGACACGGUCCAGACUCCUACGGGAGGCAGCAGUGGGGAAUUUUGCGCAAUGGGGGAAACCCUGACGCAGCAACGCCGCGUGGGUGAUGAAGGCCUUCGGGUCGUAAAGCCCUGUCGGGAGGAAAGAAAUGAUUGAGGGCUAAUACCUCUUGAUCUUGACGGUACCUCCGAAGGAAGCACCGGCUAACUCCGUGCCAGCAGCCGCGGUAAUACGGAGGGUGCAAGCGUUGUUCGGAAUUAUUGGGCGUAAAGCGCGUGUAGGCGGUCUUUUAAGUCUGAUGUGAAAGCCCCGGGCUCAACCUGGGAAGUGCAUUGGAAACUGGGAGACUUGAGUACGGGAGAGGAGAGUGGAAUUCCUAGUGUAGGAGUGAAAUCCGUAGAUAUUAGGAGGAACACCGGUGGCGAAGGCGGCUCUCUGGACCGAUACUGACGCUGAGACGCGAAAGCGUGGGUAGCAAACAGGAUUAGAUACCCUGGUAGUCCACGCCGUAAACGAUGAGUACUAGGUGUUGCG
rnacentral:rRNA from 1 species